rnacentral:rRNA from 1 species
AUUGAACGCUGGCGGCAUGCUUUACACAUGCAAGUCGAACGGCAGCGCGGGGGCAACCCUGGCGGCGAGUGGCGAACGGGUGAGUAAUGUAUCGGAACGUAUCCUGUAAUGGGGGAUAACCAGUCGAAAGAUUGGGUAAUACCGCAUACGCACGAGAGUGGAAAGUAGGGGAUCGCAAGACCUUACGUUAUAGGAGCGGCCGAUAUCUGAUUAGCUAGUUGGUGGGGUAAAGGCCUACCAAGGCGACGAUCAGUAGCUGGUCUGAGAGGACGACCAGCCACACUGGGACUGAGACACGGCCCAGACUCCUACGGGAGGCAGCAGUGGGAAUUUUCGGCAAUGGGGAAACCCUGACCGAGCAAUGCCGCGUGAAUGAAGAAGGUCUUCGGACUGUAAAAUCCUGUUAUUUGUGGAAGAAGGUAGUUGGAGGAAAUGCCAAUUACUUGACGGUACAAAUGAGAAAGCCCCGGUAACUAUGUCGCCAGCAGCCGACGGUAAAGAGUAGUAACA